UGAGGAAUAUUGGACAAUGGGCGCAAGCCUGAUCCAGCCAUGCCGCGUGCAGGAUGACGGUCCUAUGGAUUGUAAACUGCUUUUUGUACAGGAAGAAACAGUUCUACGUGUAGAACCUUGACGGUACUGUAAGAAUAAGGAUCGGCUAACUCCGUGCCAGCAGCCGCGGUAAUACGGAGGAUCCAAGCGUUAUCCGGAAUCAUUGGGUUUAAAGGGUCCGUAGGCGGUUAGAUAAGUCAGUGGUGAAAGCCCAUCGCUCAACGGUGGAACGGCCAUUGAUACUGUCUGACUUGAAUUAUUAGGAAGUAACUAGAAUAUGUAGUGUAGCGGUGAAAUGCUUAGAGAUUACAUGGAAUACCAAUUGCGAAGGCAGGUUACUACUAAUGGAUUGACGCUGAUGGACGAAAGCGUGGGUAGCGAACAGGAUUAGAUACCCUGGUAGUCCCUGAGCGGGCUGGCAAGGCGCAU
rnacentral:rRNA from 1 species